AACCUCCGCAAUGUGAGAAAUCGCGACGGGGGGAUCCCAAGUGCCAUUCUUAACGGGAUGGCUUUUCAUUAGUGUAAAGAGCUUUUGGAAUAAGGGCUGGGCAAGACCGGUGCCAGCCGCCGCGGUAACACCGGCAGCUCUAGUGGUAGCAGUUUUUAUUGGGCCUAAAGCGUCCGUAGCCGGUUUAAUAAGUCUCUGGUGAAAUCCUGUAGCUUAACUGUGGGAAUUGCUGGAGAUACUAUUAGACUUGAGACCGGGAGAGGUUAGAGGUACUCCCAGGGUAGAGGUGAAAUUCUGUAAUCCUGGGAGGACCGCCUGUUGCGAAGGCGUCUAACUGGAACGGUUCUGACGGUGAGGGACGAAAGUUAGGGGCGCGAACCGGAUUAGAUACCCGGGUAGUCCUAACUGUAAACGAUGCGGACUUGGUGUUGGGGUGGCUUUGAGCUGCUCCAGUGCCGAAGGGAAGCUGUUAAGUCCGCCGCCUGGGAAGUACGGUCGCAAGACUAAAACUUAAAGGAAUU
rnacentral:rRNA from 1 species